rnacentral:ncRNA from 2 species
AAAGCAUUGCGAUGGUCCCUG